rnacentral:rRNA from 1 species
AAGAGUUUGAUCCUGGCUCAGGAUUAACGCUGGCGGCGUGCCUAAUACAUGCAAGUCGAACGGAAACCUACGGGUUUUAGUGGCGAACGGGUGAGUAACACGCAAGUAAUCUGCCCUUAAGACGAGGAUAACAGUUGGAAACAAUUGCUAAGACUGGAUAGGAAGCGGGGAGGCCUCUCGCCGCUUUUAAAAGACCUAGUUUCUAGGUAUGCUUAAGGAGGGGCUUGCGCCAUAUUAGUUAGUUGGUAGGGUAACGGCCUCCCAAGACGAUGAUGUGUAGCUGGACUGAGAGGUUGAACGGCCACAUUGGGACUGAGAUACGGCCCAAACUCCUACGGGAGGCAGCAGUAGGGAAUUUUCGGCAAUGGAGGCAACUCUGACCGAGCAACGCCGCGUGAACGAUGAAGUACUUCGGUAUGUAAAGUUCUUUUAUUAAGGAAGAAAACAGCCCGGCGAACCGGGCUUUUGACGGUACUUAAGGAAUCAGCCCCGGCUAAUUAUGUGCCAGCAGCCGCGGUAAUACAUAAGGGGCGAGUGUUAUCCGGAAUUAUUGGGCGUAAAGGGUGCGUAGGCGGUGAAGUUAGUCAAUGGUGUAAUGGCAGCGCUUAACGGUGUCCGGCUAUUGAAACUGCUUCACUCGAGUGAGAUAGAGGCGAGUGGAAUUCCAUGUGUAGCGGUAAAAUGUGUAAAUAUAUGGAGGAACACCAGAGGCGUAGGCGGCUCGCUGGGUCUUGACUGACGCUGAGGCACGAAAGCGUGGGGAGCAAACAGGAUUAGAUACCCUGGUAGUCCACGCCGUAAACGAUGAGUACUAAGUGUCGGGUUCCCCCGGUACUGAAGUUAACACAUUAAGUACUCCGCCUGAGUAGUACGUACGCAAGUAUGAAACUUAAAGGAAUUGACGGGACUCCGCACAAGCGGUGGAUCAUGUUGUUUAAUUCGAAGAUACGCGAAAAACCUUACCAGGCCUUGACAUGUUCGUGCAAUGCAGUAGUAAUAUUGCGGAGGUUAUCACGAUCACAGGUGGUGCAUGGUUGUCGUCAGCUCGUGUCGUGAGAUGUUAGGUUAAGUCCUAAAACGAGCGAAACCCUUGUCAUUAGUUGCCAGCAUGUUAAGAUGGGGACUCUAAUGAGACUGCCAGUGACAAACUGGAGGAAGGUGGGGAUUACGUCAAAUCAGCAUGCCCCUUAUGGCCUGGGCUACAAACGUGAUACAAUGGCUGUGACAAAGAGUAGCUGAAACGCGAGUUUUUAGCCAAUCUCAAAAACGCAGUCUCAGUUCGGAUUGAAGUCUGCAACUCGACUUCAUGAAGUUGGAAUCGCUAGUAAUCGCGAAUCAGCAUGUCGCGGUGAAUACGCUCUCGGGGUUUGUACACACCGCCCGUCAAACCACGAAAGUUGGCAAUACCCCAAAACGGUCGCUUAACGGACUCCGGUCCGAGGGCCCCGUCUAAGGUAGGGUUGAUGAUUGGGGUUAAGUCGUAACAAGGUAUCCCUACCGGAAGGUGGGGAUGGAUCACCUCUUUUCUAAGGAUAAACCUAAUUAAUAUCAUCUUCAGUUUUGAAAGACUUAGGACCCCUAAGUUUUUCGUGGUUACAGACCAGGGGCCUAUAGCUCAGUUGGUUAGAGCACACGCCUGAUAAGCGUGAGGUCGGUGGUUCAAGUCCAUUUAGGCCCACCAUACCCGGAAGUCGGGAUUGGGUUUGUAAACAAGCUCUUUGAAAAUUAGAUAAAUCACGGGUACCACCCGUAAAAAUUAAAGAAAAUAAGGGCGCACAGUGGAUGCCUAGGCACCAAGAGCCGAUGAAGGACG